CUUUGGUUUUCUUUUCUAGUUUUUGUCUCUGCUUUAUCCCUUCACCUUCACCUCUUUACUGGGGAGAGAGAGAGAGAGAGAGAUAUCCUCCGUUAGCUUUCCACUCUCCAAACNCAAACUCAGAGAGAGAUAUAGAGGGAGUAGCGGAGAGAUAUCAACCAACUAAAUUGAUUCUCUCUUGCUCUGGAACAAAAAUCACGAACCCCA
rnacentral:misc_RNA from 1 species